UGAGUAACGCGUAAGGAACCUGCCUUUUAGAGGGGGAAUAACAAUGAGAAAUCAUUGCUAAUACCGUAUAUGCCAUAAUUAUCACAUGAUAAUAGUGGGAAAGGAGCAAUUCGCUAAAGAUGGCCUUGCGUCUGAUUAGAUAGUUGGUAAGAUAACGGCUUACCAAGUCGACGAUCAGUAGCCGGACUGAGAGGUUGAACGGCCACAUUGGGACUGAGAUACGGCCCAGACUCCUACGGGAGGCAGCAG
rnacentral:rRNA from 1 species